rnacentral:rRNA from 1 species
GCAUAUCAAUAAGCGGAGGAAAAGAAACUAACAAGGAUUCCCCUAGUAACUGCGAGUGAAGCGGGAAAAGCUCAAAUUUAAAAUCUGGCGGUCUUCGGCCGUCCGAGUUGUAGUCUGGAGAAGUGCUUUCCGCGCUGGACCGUGUAUAAGUCUCUUGGAACAGAGCGUCAUAGAGGGUGAGAAUCCCGUCUUUGACACGGACUACCAGUGCUUUGUGAUGCGCUCUCAAAGAGUCGAGUUGUUUGGGAAUGCAGCUCAAAAUGGGUGGUGAAUUCCAUCUAAAGCUAAAUAUUGGCGAGAGACCGAUAGCGAACAAGUACCGUGAGGGAAAGAUGAAAAGCACUUUGGAAAGAGAGUUAAACAGUACGUGAAAUUGCUGAAAGGGAAACGCUUGAAGUCAGUCGCGUCGUCCGGAACUCAGCCUUGCUUCCGCUUGGUGCACUUUCCGGAUGACGGGUCAGCAUCGAUUUUGACCGUCGGAAAAGGGCUGGAGUAAUGUGGCACCUCCGGGUGUGUUAUAGACUCUGGUCGCAUACGGCGGUUGGGAUCGAGGAACGCAGCGCGCCGCAAGGCAGGGGUUCGCCCACUUUCGCGCUUAGGAUGCUGGCAUAAUGGCUUUAAACGACCCGUCUUGAAACACGGACCAAGGAGUCUAACAUACCUGCGAGUGUUUGGGUGGAAAACCCGAGCGCGUAAUUAAAGUGAAAGUUGAGACCUCUGUCGUGGAGGGCAUCGACGCCCGGACCUGACGUUCUCUGAAGGAUCCGCGGUAGAGCAUGUAUGUUGGGACCCGAAAGAUGGUGAACUAUGCCUGAAUAGGGUGAAGCCAGAGGAAACUCUGGUGGAGGCUCGUAGCGAUUCUGACGUGCAAAUCGAUCGUCAAAUUUGGGUAUAGGGGGCGAAAGACUAAUCGAACCAUCUAGUAGCUGGGUUCCUGCCGA